CCACCACCUCUUAAAGGCAAGAAAAAAGUUCUUUAUGUCAAGUCAUUUCACAGAACAAAGAACUAAAAAAUCCACCAUGGUUUAUGCUUCUCAAACAUAUGGCAAGAAAAAAGUUCUUCUAUAUGUCAAGUCAUUUCACAGAACAAAGAGCUAAAAAAUUCACCAUGGUUUAUGCUUCUCAAACAUAUGGCA